UACAGAGGUCUCAAGCGUUGUUCGGAUUCAUUGGGCGUAAAGAGCGUGUAGGCGGUCCGGUAAGUCGGCUGUGAAAGUCCAGGGCUCAACCCUGGGAUGCCGGUCGAUACUGCCGGACUAGAGUUCGGAAGAGGCGAGUGGAAUUCUCGGUGUAGCGGUGAAAUGCGUAGAUAUCGAGAGGAACACCUGCGGCGAAGGCGGGUUGCUGGGCUGACACUGACGCUGAGGCGCGAAAGCUAGGGGAGCGAACAGG
rnacentral:rRNA from 1 species